rnacentral:rRNA from 1 species
ACCAGCUACGGAUCGCGGCCUUGGUGAGCGUUACGUCGCGUCCAGCGGCGGACGGGUGAGCAUGCAUGAGAAUGCGCCCGGUAGUGGGGGAUGCUUGAGGAACUCAGCGUAAUACCGCAUACCCCCCGUGGGGGAAAGCAGGGGAUCUUCGGACCUUGCGCUAUCGGAUGAGCCUAUGUCGGAUUAGCUAGUUGGUGAGGUAAUGGCUCACCAAGGCCGCGAUCCGUAGCUGGUCUGAGAGGAGAUCAGCCACAUCGGGACUGAGACACGGCCCGAACUCCUACGGGAGGCAAGCAGUGGGGAAUAUUGGACAAUGGGCGAAAGCCUGAUCCAGCCAUGCCGCGUGUGUGAAGAAGGCCUUCGGGUUGUAAAGCACUUUCAGCGAGGAAGAACGCUUGUGGGUUAAUACCCUGCAAGAAGGACAUCACUCGCAGAAGAAGCACCGGCUAACUCCGUGCCAGCAGCCGCGGUAAUACGGAGGGUGCAAGCGUUAAUCGCAAUUACUGGGCGUAAAGCGCGCGUAGGCGGCUUGAUAAGCCGGUUGUGAAAGCCCCGGGCUCAACCUGGGAACGGCAUCCGGAACUGUCAGGCUAGAGUGCAGGAGAGGAAGGUAGAAUUCCCGGUGUAGCGGUGAAAUGCGUAGAAGAUCGGGAGGAAUACCAGUGGCGAAGGCGGCCUUCUGGACUGACACUGACGCUGAGGUGCGAAAGCGUGGGUAGCAAACAGGAUUAGAUACCCUGGUAGUCCACGCCGUAAACGAUGUCGACUAGCCGUUGGGGUCCUCGAGACCUUUGUGGCGCAGUUAACGCGAUA